GGGAAAAUGGCACGUUUGGUCACCCUAAUAAUAAUGUGAAGGACAAAUGCAAUGAAUGCAUCAAAUGCAACAUGCAGCUUCUGCUCAGGUGGAGAAAGGAUAGGCUAACUAAGCUAAGUUACACGUUGCAGCAGAGAAAAAAAAAUCACCAAACUUGUAGCAAAACUAAUUUGGAUAUUAAUUAUUCAAGUCAAGUCUACACUAUUCUCGCUAAAUUCACGCUGAUUGUUGUGUCUCAGUGUACGUGACUUUCGAAACGUCUGCUUUAAAACUACAUUUCCCAUAAUAACUCUCGGCGUGACUAACAUUACCCAUAAGGCUGUUGGCCCUCUAUCUCCAGCCAGGAAGGUCAUUGAGAAUCAGACUCAGGUUGAGUAGAUCUCAAACUUCAGCAGUAACUAUGCUCGGACAAGCCGUGCGACGCUUCGCCACCUCUGCGGUUCGCUCCAGUCACUAUGCGGAGGGACCAGGAAAGAACUUGCCAUUCUCUGUAGAGAACAAGUGGAGGCUUCUUGGCAUGAUGGUGCUGUUCUUUGGCAGUGGAUUCGCCUUCCCAUUCAUUGUUGUCAGGCAUCAGAUCCUGAAGAAGUGAAGCUCCUUCCAGCCACACAUUGUCAGUGUGAUUCUUGUGCAACACAGCUCUCAGUUUCUUCUGGUGUGGAUCCUGUAAUGUUAUUGUAAAUAAAAUGACCAAUGACAUUGCUAUGUUUUUUCUCAUUCUUUAUUUCAUGCUUUCCUGAAACUUAAAGCAUAGGCUAAAAUUAUGUAAAUGAAAUGAUUCUCCAGUUACACUAUUUUAAAGAGUCCUUGUUGAGUAAUAUUAAUUGACUACAUGUAAACUAUAUGGUUGGGUUUAGAAUUAGGGUUUGUUUUAGGGUUACUUGAAUUUAAUUGUGCAUAAUUGUUAUAAUAAUGGUAAGGACAUGUAACAUGCAACAAGGACACCUUAAAAUAAUGUUACAGAUUCUCCUCAUAAAUCUAUACUUGGAUUGAAUCUUUCCAGAGCCUGUUACAUUUUAUUUAUCCAUUGAACAAAACUUACGUAAAUUGAUUAAAUUCACUUGUAUGAUAAAAUGUUUACUUAAACACUGAUAUGAUGUUUACUAUAAAGUGUUUACUUAAAGCGAUAGUUUACCUAAAAAAGAAAAUUGUUCAUGUAUUCACCCUCACACUUUUUAAACCUUUAUGAGUUUCAGCUGACUUCCAUAGUAUAGUAGUGAACUAUCCCUUUAAAUAAGGGCUGCACGAUAAAUCGAAAUGGAAUCGAAAUCACAAUUAGACAGAAUCUGCGGUCGUCAUGCAUAUCUUUCAGUGGCUACAAUUACAUGCACAAUUUUUGGUUCAGUUGGACAAUUAAUUACGAUUGAUGAAUCUGAUUCUAGUGUUUACAUGAGCGCUAAAUAAAGUGAUCGGGUUGAUGUGUGCGGUUAUAAAUCUGGAAGGUUUUUUUUUUUAUUUUUGACAUGCGCACACUGCUCAAAUAGUGUAAGUGACAGAUAAUAUCGAGAUUCUCACUGUUUGCUCAUAACCACUCUCCUGCAUGGUUUCUUUAUUUGUUUUUAACAGCAGAAUUAAUAUUUACCAGUUUAUGGAUAAAUAUAGCCUACAUAUAAACCGCUGUGCUGCUCAUAUUUAUCACACACACACAAAAAAAGCCCCUCCCCUCGCCCAAAACGGGUUGCCUGUGGAUGAGUAUCCAAGACAAGGUUGUCCUGCUUCACUUAACAGUUGCCGAGUGAAAGGAGAGUUUUAUAAUGACAGGACACGAAUUUAUACAACACUUUAUUCAAAAGGAAGAGCCGCUCGUUCUGUGCUUUAAAUGUCAUUACGUUAUUUCUGCGUCAUUGCACAGGUGCAGUUAUUUCAAUUUCGUGGUUCAAUCCGAUCGAGUGUACGCUCAAUCGUAUUAGAAGAGAAAUAAACCAUCCCCUUCAAUCUGACCGAAAUUUCACUCAGAUCGAGCUCAAUCGGAACGAUUAAGGUGUUUAUAUGAAAGAUUUUCAAUCCGAUUGAUCCGUCAAUCCGAUUACAGACGGAUUAUUUGGGUGCAUGAAAACGUAGCCAUUGAAGCACGGUUCUGUGAUCAGCAGUAAAUCUCCAUCCGAAGGCCAGAGGGCGCUCUCACGCUGAAACUCCAAACGCUUUGCAGAAGAAACCCAGGAAAUGCCUUACAGUGGUAGCUGGAUAAACAGAAGAUUUAACUUCUUUAUUGAUUCUAUGUGACUAAUAAACACAUGAUUAUAACAAUAUAUGGUUUAUCUGAGUUAUUAUUGUAUUUUUUAUUGAAAUAAAGUAUAUUUAUAAUGCAAUGCCUUUAUCUCUGCUUCGAAUCCUAUGAAAUAUGUUGUGUGCCGUAUACUGUGUAAGAAAGCCAUAUCAACUCACAAAAGGACUUAUUUCAAACACUCAACUGAUGUUAUGGAGUAAAAACAUGUUAUUAAAUGUGGUAUUUUUGCAUGCUUUCAGGUGGAGCAGCAUUUACUACACAGAGCCGUAGUUCACUGAGAAGCUACGCAAACAGCUGUCAUUAUCACGAACGAUAUCUUCAAUUUCAUAAUCGCUCAAUAAUAUUGUCUGCUAAGGUUUUUUUUUUGUGUGUGUGUGUGUGUGUGUGUGUGUCUGUGAACUAUGGCUCUGUGUAGUAAAUGCUGCUCCAUCUGAAAGCAUGUGAUGAUGAUUUACUGCUGAUUACAGAACCAGUGUCCUGACAUUUUAUCCUACCCGUCAAUUUUCCUACCAGGGUCUACUGCGCAUGCACACAUCAACAUUGCGUCAAUCCUUUUUCUCAUGCUUAACAAUAUUUAAUGUAUCUGCAUUAUUGUAAGGGUAGGUUUAGGGUUUGGGAAGGUGUAGGCUUUAAUAAAAACACAAUCUAAUAGGUAGAAAAAAAUAUUGUUGGUUUCCUGUAGAUGUAUCCCUUCUAGCUACAACCACAAAUAUAACACAUAAUUACUUUAUUUGCAUUACUGUAAGGGAAGAUUUAGGGUUGUGGUAGGUGUAGACAUUAAUAAACCAUAACUUUACAGUAGCAUUUUUACAAUUCACUGUUUUAAUAGAGGAAGCAAAAUCUGACAGGUAGGACAAAUCGACAGAACACCGGCUUUACUAACAAAACGCGCAUGACAAUCAAAUUCAAUUAAUCGUGCAACCCUACAUAGGCUAUUAUAGAAAUAUAAUAACAUGAAAAGGCUGUAAAA
ensembl:lncRNA